CGGACGGGGGAGUAAUGUCUGGGAAACUGCCUGAUGGAGGGGGAUAACUACUAGAAACGGUAGCUAAUACCGCAUAACGUCGCAAGACCAAAGAGGGGGACCUUCGGGCCUCUUGCCAUCGGAUGUGCCCAGAUGGGAUUAGCUAGUAGGUGGGGUAAAGGCUCACCUAGGCGACGAUCCCUAGCUGGUCUGAGAGGAUGACCAGCCACACUGGAACUGAGACACGGUCCAG
rnacentral:rRNA from 1 species